AGAGUUUGAUCCUGGCUCAGAGCGAACGCUGGCGGCAGGCUUAACACAUGCAAGUCGAGCGGGCGUAGCAAUACGUCAGCGGCAGACGGGUGAGUAACGCGUGGGAACGUACCUUUUGGUUCGGAACAACACAGGGAAACUUGUGCUAAUACCGGAUAAGCCCUUACGGGGAAAGAUUUAUCGCCGAAAGAUCGGCCCGCGUCUGAUUAGCUAGUUGGUGAGGUAAUGGCUCACCAAGGCGACGAUCAGUAGCUGGUCUGAGAGGAUGAUCAGCCACAUUGGGACUGAGACACGGCCCAAACUCCUACGGGAGGCAGCAGUGGGGAAUAUUGGACAAUGGGCGCAAGCCUGAUCCAGCCAUGCCGCGUGAGUGAUGAAGGCCCUAGGGUUGUAAAGCUCUUUUGUGCGGGAAGAUAAUGACGGUACCGCAAGAAUAAGCCCCGGCUAACUUCGUGCCAGCAGCCGCGGUAAUACGAAGGGGGCUAGCGUUGCUCGGAAUCACUGGGCGUAAAGGGUGCGUAGGCGGGUCUUUAAGUCAGGGGUGAAAUCCUGGAGCUCAACUCCAGAACUGCCUUUGAUACUGAGGAUCUUGAGUUCGGGAGAGGUGAGUGGAACUGCGAGUGUAGAGGUGAAAUUCGUAGAUAUUCGCAAGAACACCAGUGGCGAAGGCGGCUCACUGGCCCGAUACUGACGCUGAGGCACGAAAGCGUGGGGAGCAAACAGGAUUAGAUACCCCUGUAGUCC
rnacentral:rRNA from 1 species